rnacentral:rRNA from 1 species
UUCGGGUUGUAAACCUCUUUUAGCAAGGAAGAAGCGAAAGUGACGGUACUUGCAGAAAAAGCACCGGCUAACUACGUGCCAGCAGCCGCGGUAAUACGUAGGGUGCAAGCGUUAUCCGGAAUUAUUGGGCGUAAAGAGCUCGUAGGCGGUUUGUCGCGUCUGCUGUGAAAUCUGGGGGCUCAACCCCCAGCCUGCAGUGGGUACGGGCAGACUAGAGUGCGGUAGGGGAGAUUGGAAUUCCUGGUGUAGCGGUGGAAUGCGCAGAUACCAGGAGGAACACCGAUGGCGAAGGCAGAUCUCUGGGCCGUAACUGACGCUGAGGAGCGAAAGGGUGGGGAGCAAACAGGAUUAGAUACCCUGGUAGUCCAAGGGCGAAU